AUUGAACGCUGGCGGCAUGCCUUACACAUGCAAGUCGAACGGUAACGGGCCUUCGGUUGCCGACGAGUGGCGAACGGGUGCGUAAUACAUCGGAACGUGCCCGAUCGCUGUGGGUAACGAGUCGAAAGCUUUGCUAAUACCUCAUACGAUCUACGGAUGAAAGCCGGGGACCGCAAGGCCUUGCGCGGACGGUGCUGCCGAUGGCAGAUUAGGUAGUUGGUGGGAUAAAAGCUUACCAAGCCGACGAUCUGUAGCUGGUCUGAGAGGAUGAUCAGCCACACUGGGACUGAGACACGGCCCAGACUCCUACGGGAGGCAGCAGUGGGGAAUUUUGGACAAUGGGCGCAAGCCUGAUCCAGCCAUGCCGCGUGCAGGAUGAAGGCCUUCGGGUUGUAAAAUGCUUUUGUACGGAACGAAAAGCCUUCUUUUAAUACAGGAGGGUCAUGACGGUACCGUAAGAAUAAGCACCGGCUAACUACGUG
rnacentral:rRNA from 1 species